UGACACGUAAGUAAUCAGAUGCUGUCUGAUAGGAGGAAGUCAAACUACAGGAUUUUACUGUCAGGGCCAUCAGCUACUCAGGAGCCUGUUUGAAUCAAUUGAUGGCAAAUAGCAGUCUUUCUACAUUUUCUUGCAGACAGAUUUCUAUCUGACUUUCUUGGCCACCAAUUCAACAGAAGAAGAGAACAACCAAAUGUCUGUAGUUACUGCAUCUUCGUAUAGGUGGCAAGGAGUGGCUCUUCUUUGUUCCCCUAUGACAUACAAAGGACUUAGAAGUGUUUAUGUGAGGAAAAGGCAGCAUAUUAUAACAUCUGACACUUUUUCUCCAUGAGAAAGCUGGAAAUCACCCCUUCCAACUGGCAGAAAGCUUUGACUCUCAGCCCUGCAAAGCUUUGAAGUCAUGAUGCAUCUACAAGUGAAUCUGUCAUUUCUCUUACCGUUAGCUUGCUAGCCUGAGUCUUGAAGAACAGUUUUCACAAAUUUCUCCUCAGCAAAUAGAGAUGAUGUAAGACAGUAUAAAAGUUAAAUUUACAUUAGAUUUAAGGGUUCCAGUUAUGCCUUUGGUGUACAGUUGGACAGUACAGCUAAGAUGAUCUAGCAGCUCACUGCUGGCAGGAGGAACUGUACCAUUCCUUCUUCCAUGCUCCUGCUCUGUCUUGUGUCUACUCUGGUGCUUAUCUGAUCCUCCAUAAGCCAAUUCAACUGCAUCACAAAAAAUGAUAUGUCAAUCUCCUGCAGUACUGCUUUUUCCAGUUUUAUUCUCUGAAUCUGAUGCAUGGAGGGAGGAAGUGGAAUUGUGACCUGGGGUACAACUCCACUGUGAUCCUUCUGUUUUCCUUCCUCACUAAUAUGUGCAUCCUCUUAUUCCUAACUUUAUCUACCCAUUCUGUUCUCUGAGCAGUCAGUCUCCAAACAGAACACCAUAACUGUCCUUCCAUCCUGGAUUUCUUGUGCUUCCCUUUCAAAGGACGCUUUGCUCCCAGUGGAAGCCUUA